AAAAAAACCCCGAAAAAACCAAACACCAAGGUUUGGCACAAUAUCCAUCCUAAAAAUAGACUUUUUUUUUUUGAUUUUCUCUUCCUUUUCUCUGCUCCUCCCCACAGAGUCUUUCCCUCUUUCACCCGGCCAGAUCUCAGGCAUCUCUCUCAAUCUAUUUUUUUCACUGUAUAUAUUUCAUUUUCUUUUUUUUCUACAGUCACUCAAGUAGCUGUGCUCCCGAUAAUAGCCAAGUGAAAGUCAAAAUUUGUAACACAUGGUAUUUCAGCAGGUUUGAAAUCUGUCAAAACAUUUUAGCCCAUUGUUAAUAAGAACAGGACGUCCAUGGAUUAUUUCCAGCUCUCUCUCCCUUGUGAGUUUAUUGCCUCUGAUUCAAAAGUGCUGCAUUUUUAAUAGACUUGGGUCAAGUCUUCAAAAAAACUUCCAUGGAAAGUCACUCAAAUUUGAAUUUGUUUACUUGUGUUUAUACCCCUUUUAUGUUCACUUCCCAUGAAAGGCCUAGUGAAUGAGGUUACUGACAAGGAUGCUCAUGGUAAGCAAUAAAUUUUAAGCGAAUAUUAGAAAAUAUUUCCAACUGAUUGGGAAUGAUCCACAAACCAAACAUCAUUCAUAAACAUUAUCCAACAAACAAUUCUGAAUAAAAAAAUAAAUAUGAGAAACCUAUAGCCUGCUAGUAGACAAGUUAAUAAGAGAAAAAAUGAAAUUAAACUCCAUAAAUUAUUGUUAAUGAAUAACUUUUCCAGCACAAAUAUUGAAUUCGCUACCAUAUUUUCUCAUAUACAACAUGCACUGUCCAUGUUACAGGCCAGGUUGUAGGCAGCUAAGCUUAAAGACCUGGGUACUGUGAUCAGGGCUGGAUUAACACAUACUCAAACUAAGCACAUACCUAGUGCUCUAAGUGAAGAAGGGGCCCAACUGUGCUUAUUUUACAUAUUAUAAGUGAGUGAAAAAACUAGGGGUCCAUGAGUUUGCUUGCCUAAGGUCUACUAAAGGGUUAAUCUGUCCCUGACUUUGGGGCGGGGGAAGGGGAGGUGCUAGGAUCUGGGACAAAAUCCUGGAGCUGAAUUACUAAGUGUAGAGGGAAAUCCCAAAGUAGCAUCCACUGCACAGGCCAGAGGCAGACACUGGGAGGUCAGAAGCAGAGCAGAAAUUCACGGGUCAAAGUCUUAAUGCAGAGCCAGGCUGGGGGUCAAGAACCAUAAAACACAGGUCUGUAGGGAAAUCCAAAGCUAAAAUGCACAGAAAAGCUGAAAGCCAGAGCCAAGAACCAGGAAAAUCAGAUAGCACAAGAGUCAGGAGGCUUGCCACAGCAAAGUCACAAUUAUUGACUAGCCCGGAAAUCCAUACCUCCAGCUGGGUCUAAGGCUAGGGACAAAAGUUACACAUAAACCGGUUUAAGUCAUCAAAAACUGGUUUAAACCUGUAACACAACAGAAGCUCAGUGCACAUAAACCAGUUUCAAAAUGGCUGAAACUGACUUAAGAUAAACCUGGUUGAAUGUAGUAUUAGACUUAACUGAUUUGGGUCAAACCAAUUUAUGAAACUUCUGUCCCAGAGUCCAUCCUGGUUCAAGUUAAAUCAGAGUCCCCCAGCAUCCCAGCAUGCUUUCCAGCCCUAGGCUGGGCUGGACUAUCAACUCCAGCGGAGAAGGAUUUGCAGGGGAGGGGGCAGUGCCCUACCAGGCAAACCCUGGGUGGGGUCUGGGACCAGGGAGGGGAGUUAAGCCCCACUUCCCCAGUAUAGAGCUAUCUUGCUAAACUUAUUGAAAGUUACUGCUGGCUGUGACUAUGAACAACAAAUCCCAGAGGCACCUGGAAGCAGGAAAAGAAAGUGAUGAGCAACCCUACAGAGUCCGGCUUCUGUGAUACUGGACUACAAAUCCCAGAGACCUUGGGGGCAACAGGAAGAGGAAAUGCCAAAGAUCUUUAUUCUAAUGUCCACCCCGCCUGCUUAUGACCUGAGCUAUUGUAGAUAUGAAGCUGCAUUUCCUGAAUCAAAGGUAUAGGUGGAUUGUGGGCUGGCAGAGUCCAUGGUCAAGUGGAUUGGGAACUGGCUAAGGUGUCGAACCCAGACAGUGUUAGUGGACAGGUAUCACCAUCUCGUGGGCUGAAAGAAAUGACAGAAGCCUGUUCCCCAAGCUACUGAUUAACGCUUUCUCCAGUCGAGAAAUGGAUCAAUGUUUCAUCCAUCCAGACUGUUGAACUAUCUAAUUCUGAACAUUCUGCUAUGAAGACCCUGUGCACUGUGGAAUUUCUGCUAUUUACCUCACUACUGCUUGUUGCUGCCACAACAAAAAUAUCAUCACCAAACAGAACUAUCACCUGCCCCUUGGUCAAUACUAUGGCCUCAAGAAUGUUCUUCUGGAAUACCUUUCAUGCUCGGGGGUGGGAGAAGAGAUCCUACAUAUGUCAUAUUUGGGCAUCAAGAUCUAAUUCUUUGUCAUUGACAGGAGACAGGGUAGAGUUGUACCUUGUAGAAUAACUAAAUCAAGAUAUGCAGAAGCUUUCUUAAGCAACAGCUUCCUUCAUAGUUUCAUAGUUGGUAGGGUCGGAAGGGACGUGAGCAGGCCAUCAAGUCCAACCCCUUGCCAUGGGUAGGAAAGAAUGCUGGGGUCAAAUGACCCCGGCUAGGUGAUUAUCUAGCCUCCUUUUGAAGACCCCCAGAGUAGGAGCCAGCACCACUUCCCUUGGAAGUCGGUUCCAGUUCCUAGCCACUCUGACUGUGAAGUAGUGCUUCCUGAUGUCUAGCCUGAACAUACUCUCAGUCAAUUUGUAGCCGUUAUUCCUAGUUACUCCUGGUAGUGCUCAGGGGAACAGGGAUUCUCCUGUUUCCCGCUGGUCCUGCCUGGCAAGUUUAUAGAUGGCCACCAGAUCCCCUCUCAGCCUUCUCUUGUGGAGGCUGAACAGGUUCAGGUCCCUUACCCUCUCCUCGUAGGGCCUGCCCUGCUGACCCCUGAUCAUGUGAGUGGCCCUCCUCUGGACCCUCUCGAUGUUGUCCACAUCCCUCCUGAAGUGUGGCGCCCAGAACUGGAUGCAGUACUCCAACUGAGGCCUGACCAAUGUUGCAUAGAGGGGAAGGAUCACCUCCUUGAACCUGCUUGUGAUGCAUCUGUGGAUUCAUGACAAGGUGCAGGUAGCCAUACUGACCAUGUCCUUACAUUGGCAGCCCAUAUUCAUCUUCGAAUCUAUAAUGAUUCCAAGAUCCUUUUCUGCCUCUGUGCUGAUGAGAAGGGAGUUCCCCAGCCUAUAGGCAUGCUGGUGGUUCUUUCUCCCUAGGUGCAGUACCCUGCACUCAUCAGUAUUGAAUCCCAUUCUAUUCUUAUCCGAUGACCCCUAUAACCUGUCCAGAUCUAGUUGUAGCCUGUCCCUCUCUUCUAACAUGCCCACCUCUUCCCACAUCUUAGUGUCAUCCACGAAUUUGAACAAGGUGCUUUUCACCCCCUUGUCCAAGUUGCUGAUGAAGAUGUUAUACAAUGCGGGCCCGAGGACCGAGCCCUGGGGGACCCCACUGCCCACAUCCCUCCUGGUAAAAAAUGACCCAUCCACUACCACUCUCUGGGUGUGACCCUCCAGCCAAUUUGCAACCCAUCUGACUGUGUCAGCAUCGAUGCCAUAGUCGCCUAGUUUAUCAAUGAGAAUGGGGUGAGAGACAGUGUCGAAGGCCUUCCUAAAGUCCAGAAAGACUACACCACUUCGACACCUGUGUCUAAGGAUUUUGUGACCUGGUCAUAGAAGGCAAUCAGGUUGAUCUGACAGGACUUGCCCCUAAUGAACCCACGUUGGUUGCCCCUAAGCAUAAUCUCCCCUGCUGGUCCCCCGCAGAUGUGCUCCUGAAUAAUUUUCUCAAAGAGCUUCCCCAGGAUCGAGGUAAGACUAAUGGGCCUAUAAUUUCCUGGGUCCUCCUUCCUCCCCUUUUUGAAAAUGGGGACCACACUGGCCCUUUUCCAGUCCUCUGGCACCUGGCCAGGGUACCACGAGUACUCGUAAAGCUGUGCCAGGGGUCCCGCAAUGACCUCUGCCAAUUCCCUCAACACCCUGGGGUGAAGAUCAUCUGGACCUGCUGAUUUGAACACAUCCAGCCCCACCAGAAGUUCCCUAACUAGGUCCUCUCUGACCCUAGGCCUGGCAGUGCCUCUCCUGAAUCCAUCUGGAAUCCCAGUGGGGGGGAUGUCCCGGUUCCUGCUCAGAAAAAUGGAGGCAAAGAAUUUGUCAAAGAGGUCAGCUUUAUCGUCUGGUGCAACCACCAGAUUGCCAAGCGUGUCCUGCAGGGGCCCCACAUUACCCGGUGCUUUGUUUUUACUCCCUAUAUAUUUAAAAAAGGACUUCUUGUUAUCUUUGAUCCUGGUCACUAGUCCUAGUUCUGUCUCCGCCUUAGCCUUCCUAACAGCCCCCCUACAGUCUCAAACAAUGGAGGUAUAAUAUUCCUUGUUUAUAGCCCCUCCCUUCCAUCAGGUGUACACCUCCUUUUUAGCUUUCAGACGUUCCUGAAUGCCUUUGGGGAGCCAUGGGGGCUUUUGAGCACUCUUGCCCCCUUUGACUCACGUUGGGACUGUUACUCUUUGGGCUCGGAGGAUCAUCUCCUUAAGGACUGACCACUCAUCUUGAACUCCCAACUCCCCUACCUUCUGGGACCUCAGUGCCUCCCUGACUAAUUCCUUAACUCAUUGAAAUCAGCCCUCCUGAAAUCAAGGGUUGCUGCCUUGCUGCGUGCCUUUGACACCCUGCGAUGGAUGAUGAAUUCUAGUAGGCAAUGAUCGCUAUCGCCCAGGUGGUCAGGAACCCGCAGUCCCCUCACCAGCUCAUCGCCUGUGGCCAGGACCAGGUCCGGCAAGGCAUUUCCCCUGGUAGGACUGUGCACCUCCUAGGUUAGGUGGAGGUCCUGUAUCUCAACUAGGAACCUACGUGAGUGGUCAGACCUGGCUGACUGCUCCUCCCAGCCGAUGUUUGGGUAGUUUAGGUCACCCAUGAUGACCACAUCCCUUGACCUAACUGCCUUUGCAAGCUGACCUGAGAAUUCCCAGUCCAGCUUCUCCCCCUGGUUGGGUGAUGUGAUGGGCUAGCUGGCAGUGACUUAGCCCAGGGAUUUUGAAAGGGCAAAAGAUGAUUGGAGGACUUGGGAUUCCCUUUCCUCACCAAUCUGGUAAUGAUUUGGUCCAGAGGUAAAAGAUGAUUGGAGGACUUGGGACUCCCUUUCCUCACCAAUCAGGCCCCAGAGACUCACCCUCCAUGUCCUCUGAUUGGCCCCUUGGGUCACCUGGAAGGGGAUAAAAGGGGCAGCAUGGAUGACUCAAGAGAGAAACCAGCAAAGGACCACAAGGAAGGAGCUUCAAAGAGCUGGCAAGAGCUGAGCCAGCAGGGUGGGAGCAGUUGCCCCAGAAGAGCCUGAAGGAGUGGGACCUGCAGGCAGCAGUUGGACCCUCAGCAGCGCAGCGUGCGGCCGGCAGGAGAGGCUUCUCACUGGGCUCCAGGAUCACCUACGAGAGGCUGUGGCCAGCAGGAGAGGCUCCCCAGCUCCAGCAAGGAUCUGAGCAGCGACCUGAGAGGUUCCCAGCCCUGCUUCCAGCUCCUCCAAUAAGAGGCCAGGCAGCUUGAUGUGAGGCUGGGGCUCCGGGAAGAUCAAGACCCCUAGCAGGUUGAAGAAGUACUACUGCUGGUGGCUGCAUGGUAGAGUUUUUGGCUAACAGGUGGCAGAUCCAAGUUCAAAUCCCACGACGGGUAACUUGGAGUGAGUGAGCUAACAGGGAGAAAAUACUCUUGAAGUAGAAAGGGGCCACUGUGCUCCCCCUUCAGGCCCUAUAUUCCUUGUCAUUUGACGUUUUGUAUUUUGUGCCUUUUAUAUUUCACCCACCAGUAUUGUUUGUUCUGCAGUUUGUGUUUUACAUUUUGGUUAACCCUGUCUUUUGUCAACAGGAUGAAUAUGUCUAUGAUCAUGUCUAACCUUUGUUGAAACCUGCCCCCUCGGGGCAUUGUAGUGUCCCCUAUACCCCCUGGUUUAUACUGGUUAUGUUCCCAGUUUUGUUCUCUUAUUAAAAGGUAUAUGGUUAAGUCCC